AUAGCUCUAUCCUUCACCAUUGAGGAGGAGAAUGAAAUCUAUAAAACAUCUCAGCUGUAAUGAAAUUCUUCUCUCUGAUUCAAAGUGGGUGUAGACUCUAAGUCGAACCAAUAUAAUCUCAUUGUGUCAUUCUUCUUCUUCAUUUUCAUUACUAUUUUGAUAUUCGAUUCAACAUCUUCACAAAAUGGAAAGGAGACUUCAACCUUUGGAAGAAAAAGAUGAAGGCUCUUCUUGUGAAACACACAGAAGGUUGUAAAAGCCCUAAUCGAUCCAGGUAAGUUACCUGAAAUUAUGACUGAUGCUGAAAAACAAGAUAUGGCAGAGACUGCUUAUAGUACUUUCAUCUCAUACCUUGCUGAUAACGUUCUCAUAUGAGUUAAUGAAAUAAAAAAUGUAUCUGAACUAUGGACUAAACUUGAUACUCUUUAUAUGUCUGAGUCUCUUACUAAUAAGGUUUAUAUGAAAGAGAGGUUGUUCAGCUUUAAAAUGGAUACAUCUAAAGGUUUGGAGGAGAAUAUAGAUGAAUUUAAUCGCAUUUUUCAAGACUCAGUAAAUUCUGGCGAGAAGUUAGAUGCAAAAAACCAGGUUGUCAUACUAUUAAACUAUCUUCUUGAUAAGUAAAAAGAAAUUAAAUUGGCUAUUAAGUAUGGCAGGGAUUCUCUAACUAUAGACAUUGUAUUAAAUUCUCUUCAAUCAAGAGAGUUAGAACUUAAGACGGAGAAAAAGGAUUCUGAAGCAUUGUUUCUUAAAAGGAAGCAUUCGAAGGGACACAAUUCCAAGUCCAAUAAGCAAUCAUCAAAAUCCAAUUCCAAAUGAAAUCAGAAGGAGAAAGUUACUUGCAAUUAUUGCAAAAAGGAAGGCCACAUCAAAUAUGAUUGCCUUGUUUUGAGGAGGAAAGACAAGUUACCUGUUUGUAAAGAAGCAACAGUUGCAGCAAAUGUUCAUGAAUAUUUUGAGAAUGCUGAAGUCUCGAUGGUUUCUACUAAUGAAGAAUCAAACAAAUGGAACAUGAACUCCGGAUGUACUUGUCACAUGACGCUUAACAAACAUUUCUUCAUUAAUCUUGAAGAAUUUGAUGGUGGUAUGGUGGCCAUGGGUAACAAGCACAAUUGCAGCAUAAAGGGAAUUGGAUCGAAUAGAAUCAGUUUAAGUGAUGGAUCUAAGAAAAUUUUGUCAUCUGUUAGGUAUGUUUCUACCUUAAGGAGAAAUCUGAUCUCCUUGGGAACUUUUGACAAAUUUGGUUUUAACUAGAAAGCUGAAGAUGGAAGAUUAAUUGUUUAUAAAGGCUCUGAGAUUAAGCUGAUAGGAAUCCUUAAGGAUGGAUUGUAUGUCCUUCAAGGAAAUGCUAUUUCAGCUGAAACAAAUUUGAUAUCAAGUGAGGGAGACAAAACCACUAAGCUUUGGCACAGGAGGCUUGCUCACAUCAAUCAGAAGGGAUUAAACUCAUUAUUUCAGCAAGGCUUGAUUGGGAAACACAAACCAAUUGAGCUAUCUUUCUGUGAUCACUGUGUUUUGGGCAAAUCAACUCACCAUGCUUUCAGUAGAAGCACAAUGAGAUCUCAGGGCAAGCUUGACUAUAUACACUCGGAUCUUUGGGGACCAUCUUCAAUUCAAACACAUGGUGGUGCACGCUCUACCAAAUUCACCAAAGACCACACUUUCGAUUCUCACUCCGAGAAUACCAAGGGCUCCAUUUGGUGGUGUCGUCCCCAUUGCUGUUCACUUGUUCAUGACUGUUCGUAUUGCUGUCAUUUGUAUAGACGAUCGUGCUGUUGUAGACGACUUGUUUGCUGGGCGAUAGAGAUCAUGUAGAGGUCUUCCGCUGCGUCUAAGUUCAAAGCUUGAAGAGAGUCUUCAACUGGGGAUUAGAUCCUGGCGACAGCUAGAGGCUGGUGAAAUGAUGAUGUGAGUAGGCACCGGGCAUGUCGUCUCAGUUGUGGCAGUGGGAGGCUCCAGUUAGCUUUACAUAAUAGGUUUAUAGUUUUGAAUGAUGUAUAUAUUGUUCUCGAACUUAAGAGGAACCUGAUUUCUGUAAAGUGUUUAUUGCAAUGUACAUACACUAUCUCUUUUAAUGUGGAUGAAGCGUUUAUACGUAAAAAUGAUGUUUUUAUUUGUACAGCAAAUUUGGAAUCUAAUUUAUAUGUGCUA